UAAGGGUUGUUUUAAGGUUGAAAUAAGGGUUAUUUGGAGCUUCUUGGGUCACGAAAAUCUGCAUUAUUUCAUCAUCAAAAAGUGUUCUCCAAGGGUUUAGAGCAUUAGGUUCGUAGCUUGGACCGCCUCAUGGAUUGUACUUGCUUGUUAUUCGGUGGACUUGUAAUGCGAACAAUUUGUUUUUCAUUUAUGGAUUAUGGUUAUGUAAUGGAUUCUAAAAUGUCAUCUUGAACUUAUUAUCUUUUGAUUUCAAAUGAUAUUUGGAACUUAAUGUUGAUGUUUUAUCUUUAAA